UACGAAGGGGACUAGCGUUGUUCGGAAUUACUGGGCGUAAAGCGCACGUAGGCGGAUUUGUUAGUCAGGGGUGAAAUCCCGGGGCUCAACCUCGGAACUGCCUUUGAUACUGCAAAUCUCGAGUCCGAUAGAGGUGGGUGGAAUUCCUAGUGUAGAGGUGAAAUUCGUAGAUAUUAGGAAGAACACCGGUGGCGAAGGCGGCCCACUGGAUCGGUACUGAUGCUGAGGUGCGAAAGCGUGGGGAGCAAACAGG
rnacentral:rRNA from 1 species